AAUCCAUAGGUUAAUGAGGCGAACCGGGGGAACUGAAACAUCUAAGUACCCCGAGGAAAAGAAAUCAACCGAGAUUCCCCCAGUAGCGGCGAGCGAACGGGGAGGAGCCCAGAGCCUGAAUCAGCAUGUGUGUUAGUGGAAGCGUCUGGAAAGGCGCGCGAUACAGGGUGACAGCCCCGUACACAAAAGCGCAUGUGCUGUGAGCUCGAUGAGUAGGGCGGGACACGUGGUAUCCUGUCUGAAUAUGGGGGGACCAUCCUCCAAGGCUAAAUACUCCUGACUGACCGAUAGUGAACCAGUACCGUGAGGGAAAGGCGAAAAGAACCCCGGCGAGGGGAGUGAAAAAGAACCUGAAACCGUGUACGUACAAGCAGUGGGAGCACCCUUUGGGUGUGACUGCGUACCUUUUGUAUAAUGGGUCAGCGACUUAUAUUCUGUAGCAAGGUUAACCGAAUAGGGGAGCCGGAGGGAAACCGAGUCUUAACCGGGCGUUAAGUUGCAGGGUAUAGACCCGAAACCCGGUGAUCUAGCCAUGGGCAGGUUGAAGGUUGGGUAACACUAACUGGAGGACCGAACCGACUAAUGUUGAAAAAUUAGCGGAUGACCUGUGGCUGGGGGUGAAAGGCCAAUCAAACCGGGAGAUAGCUGGUUCUCCCCGAAAGCUAUUUAGGUAGCGCCUCGUGAAUUCAUCUCCGGGGGUAGAGCACUGUUUCGGCUAGGGGGCCAUCCCGGCUUACCAACCCGAUGCAAACUGCGAAUACCGGAGAAUGUUAUCACGGGAGACACACGGCGGGUGCUAACGUCCGUCGUGAAGAGGGAAACAACCCAGACCGCCAGCUAAGGUCCCAAAGUCAUGGUUAAGUGGGAAACGAUGUGGGAAGGCCCAGACAGCCAGGAUGUUGGCUUAGAAGCAGCCAUCAUUUAAAGAAAGCGUAAUAGCUCACUGGUCGAGUCGGCCUGCGCGGAAGAU
rnacentral:rRNA from 1 species